CACACUUGAAUAGAAAAAUAAAAAUGUUCAACAAGAAAGAAAAGACCGAAACUUACAUAGAAAAUUAGUUGCCUGAUAAGUGCUCAUCUUCAAGUUGUCCCGUCCCAUCCCGUCCCGUACCGCACGGGCUCAUCUUCAAGCAAGUCAGGUACGCGCGGACCGCAGUCCUCAAAAUGGCCGACCAAACCCGUCCUGAAAAAAUCUUUGUUACCUAGUCGCUUUAAUGGAAAACCAAGAAUCAGUAGAAGAAGACAAUAAGACAAAAAGACAUAUGUUCUCCAUUAAUAAGGUCUUUGCGCAUUGCGCAGCUGCGAAAGAACAAAAGUGAGUUGUGUUUGUUGAAUUUUCAUAGGUGCAUAUCAAAGACGAACGGAAAACAGGUAUUUCAUACUUUAAUAAGUAUAAUAUAUUUUUUUACAAAACCACUAGAACUCAAAUCGUCAUCAGCGGAGUUCAAACCAUCAUCGCUGGAGUUCGAAUAGUAAUUGUCGGAGCUCGAAUUGUUAUCACCGUAACUCCCUUCAUUUUUUCAGGGGAAGUUACACGAAUCACCUUCUUUUCACUCGCUCUCUUAUAUUGUUUUCAGAUAAAACAUGAAAUGAAGAAAAAAAUGCGGGUCCAUGUAAUCCCGCAUGGCCCGCUUCGUCCCAUUUCGUAAAAGACCCAGUCCCACAAUAACCCGUCCCGCGAGGUCCGCUAAUUUGCGGUCUUAGAAAAUCUCGGCCCAAUCUCAUCCCACAAUAUUCUUUUACCGACCAGACCCGUGGUCCAGGUCCACUAUUGCCAUCUCUAAGUGCAAGAUACAACACAAUAAUAAAAUAAAACGUAACUUAAUGUAAAUCAAUGGAUAUAAAUAAACACUUUCUACUUUAUUAGAAAUCACUUAAAUAAUAUUUGUAAGAUUUGUUUAAUUAGCUUUACUUGAUUCUUAUAACACCCUAACAAUCAAUAAUGAAAGAUUUCUAAGAUAUCCAACUUAUGUUUCUUCGUCGCUUGCUACAUCAACAUCUAACUCAAGAUGAUCACAAGAACACUUUCAACAGAUUUUUUACUUUUCUUUUAUAAAAUCAGCUUUAACUGUUUUCUUUGGUCAACACUUUUAUAAAAUUUUCUUCUAAACACCACUUAAAAUGAUACGGAAAGCUGUCUUCUCGAUUUUUCAUGGACCUCUCGGUUACUUUAUAGUGAUCUAUAAGUUCCCAAAAAUCCAAUGAUCUUCAAAGAGAUUCAUGAACAAUUUUCACAUUUCCUCCAUAUCAUUUUAAGUGGUGUUUAGGGGAAAAUUUUCUGUUUCAAAAUAAUUGAGUUUUCAUUGUUUUAGAUAAAAUUUAAUAUCAUUUGAACUUUGUGACCAAUUACAAAAUAUUGAAUCUUUUUUUUAUUGCUUGAAUUAGUUUCGUUAAUGAUAGUUUUAUGUAACCAACAUAAAUUGUAUAGAAAUUUGUAUUUUCUUAAUCUAUGUGUAAAAACCUUAAAAACCACUUAAAAUGAUACAGAGGAAGUAUAUACAGUUUUUUUUUUGGAAUUGUACUAUUUUUUGUUUCAAGGGAUAAACUUUCCCUUCAAGUUUAUAUUUUUACCCAUGAUCUCUUAAGCGGUAACUUUCUUCUCGAUUUUACCCUAAUCCAGCACAGCAUAGUGCAUCCAUAUGGUUCCCCCACUAUACACGCUUACUAGAACACUGUGACACUAACUACGUCAGCGGCCGCUGACAUCGACAACUUCAUCAAAGCAUAAACUUUCUUUUUUCAAGUUUAUCUUUCUCCAAUUCGACAUCUUGCAUCCAUGUGGUCUCUCCACUCUGAAUAUGCCUUAUGGGAUUUGAAAUUUUAAUUUUGUUUUAUUUGAACAACUAUUGAAAACUUGUUUUUCUCUGUGUAAUACUAGUAUUUAUAUGAAUACUAGGUAAGAUUAGUAUUGGAUCUGGAUUCGGAAGAUUAUACGAGUCUCUCUCUAUUCUCUCUGACAUCUCACUAGAAACUUCACAAAACAAUAUCCGUGUUCGGUGACCGGUGGUUAUCACCGCCGGUUACCAUUUUCUUUUUGUUUUUUUGAUGUAUAUACUUCGCUUGGCGAAUCCUUUCUUUCGCGUUGGCGAUUUGGAUUAAAAUUUCGCAAGGCGACUUUUGUUGUGUUUUUCAAUCUUCAGUCGAGUUGGUGUUCAAGAGUUUUUCAUCUUCUGCUCUCGAUUGAGUUUGAAAUGAAUAAAGUUUUAAAUCAAAGUCUUUCACUCAGUUUUUAUUUUCAUCCCGUUCAAUUAUAUGUCAGAUGUUUUUCUUCACCGUUCACUUGAAUCUCUUUCUUAAAAGUAUCAGUCUCUGCUUUCUUAAAGCCUUUAGUGGCUGUUAUGGCAGAGCAUCUUGGAUGAAUGAAGAUCAAGUUUGAUGGAUCUAUUGAGUUUUAUUUGAAGCGGAUUCAGAAGAGUUGGCGCCUUCGUAGCGGUCCGACAAAGAGUCUACCUUCAACCAGACUCAUGCUUCCACUGAUGUACUUCCCGGUGAACCAAAACCUCUCUGCCUAUGUAGUCACGGCUUUAGUGAAAGGCAAUCUCAUCCAAGUGGUUUGAAUCCGGAAGAUCUUGCCUUUGCUUAAUGAUUUGGAUUCUCUUUCAUCUGGCGGAGGAGUAGACGGCGAGAUCUCCGAUGAAGAAACGGUGGCUCAUCUCAACAAUUUCCAAGAAUGACACGUUGCCUCUACGUUGAAUAAGAAGAUCAAGACACGUGUUUUUUGUGUUUAUCUAAACUUGUUGAGUAAUUUUGGGCUUCUGUAUUGGGUUUAAUGAGUGCAAAUCACUUGUAAACUUUGGGCUUAUAGCCAUUUAAUAUUAUAAAGUUGACAAAAAAAAAAAAAGAAGGUAAGAUUAGUAUUGCUAAAA